rnacentral:lncRNA from 1 species
UUUAGACAUUCCUGGUCCUGGGACUCAUGAUCUUGGCCCUAAUGGUCACAAAUGUGACAAGGCUACAUCUAUUGAUUCAACAAAUAUCUGUUGAAUGUCUACUAUGUGUCAGAUACUGUUCCAGGUGUUGAAGAUGAAUACCUGUAGGUUUCAAAAUCGAGACAUCAUAACAGUGAUGGUGGCUUGACCUAGGCCCUGGAGAGAUGGCAGUGGAUGGCUUCAAGGCAUAUUUUGGAGGUGGAAUCAGCAAGAGCAGCCGGAGCGAGGCCACGCCCCUCCCUCGUUUCCUAGCAACCAGCUCCCUACGGGUGCACUUCCUCAAGCCUCUCUC